UACGAAGGGGACUAGCGUUGUUCGGAAUUACUGGGCGUAAAGCGCACGUAGGCGGAUUUGUUAGUCAGGGGUGAAAUCCCGGGGCUCAACCUCGGAACUGCCUUUGAUACUGCAAGUCUCGAGUCCGAUAGAGGUGGGUGGAAUUCCUAGUGUAGAGGUGAAAUUCGUAGAUAUUAGGAAGAACACCGGUGGCGAAGGCGGCCCACUGGAUCGGUACUGACGCUGAGGUGCGAAAGCUAGGGGGAGCGAACAGG
rnacentral:rRNA from 1 species